GGCGAACGGGUGAGUAACACGUGGGUGAUCUGCCCUGCACUCUGGGAUAAGCCUGGGAAACUGGGUCUAAUACCGGAUAGGACCAUGCUUUAGUGUGUGUGGUGGAAAGUUUUUCGGUGUAGGAUGAGCCCGCGGCCUAUCAGCUUGUUGGUGGGGUAAUGGCCUACCAAGGCGGCGACGGGUAGCCGGACUGAGAGGGUGUACGGCCACAUUGGGACUGAGAUACGGCCCAG
rnacentral:rRNA from 1 species